GAUGAACGCUGGUGGCGUGCCUAAUACAUGCAAGUCGAGCGAACAGACGAGGAGCUUGCUCCUCUGACGUUAGCGGCGGACGGGUGAGUAACACGUGGAUAACCUACCUAUAAGACUGGGAUAACUUCGGGAAACCGGAGCUAAUACCGGAUAAUAUAUUGAACCGCAUGGUUCAAUAGUGAAAGACGGUUUUGCUGUCACUUAUAGAUGGAUCCGCGCCGCAUUAGCUAGUUGGUAAGGUAACGGCUUACCAAGGCGACGAUGCGUAGCCGACCUGAGAGGGUGAGCGGCCACACUGGAACUGAGACACGGUCCAGACUCCUACGGGAGGCAGCAGUAGGGAAUCUUCCGCAAUGGGCGAAAGCCUGACGGAGCAACGCCGCGUGAGUGAUGAAGGUCUUCGGAUCGUAAAACUCUGUUAUUAGGGAAGAACAAAUGUGUAAGUAACUAUGCACGUCUUGACGGUACCUAAUCAGAAAGCCACGGCUAACUACGUG
rnacentral:rRNA from 1 species